UGGGUUGCGGCUGAUGGAGGAAUUUUCAAUCGGAGACAAUUGAGAGGGGAAGGCCGGCCUUUCCGCCCCUUUGGACGCUGAUACUGCGGGUUGCACGCCGGCAGCGAUGAAAACCAGGGAACCUGUUUAUUCGUUAAGGAUGUGACCAUUACUAAUGAUGGUGCAACUAUUCUGAAGUUGCUGGAGGUAGAGCAUCCUGCUGCAAAAGUACUGUGUGAACUAGCAGAAUUGCAAAAGAAAGAAGUUGGAGAUGGGACAACUUCUGUGGUAAUUGUUGCUGCAGAACUUUUGAAAAAUGCAGAUGAAUUGGUGAAACAGAAAAUUCAUCUGACUUCUUUCAUUAGUGGAUAUCGUCUUGCUUGCAAAUAAGACCUCCUGAAGUACUUCAAACAGGAUGAAGUUAUCUGAAGGUGUUAAUAUUAGGAUGGGUGUGAAUGGUAGGUAUCGGCGGCCUUCUGGUUUUAAAAGAUUCA